GACGUAGGAUGCAAGCGUUGUCCGGAUUUAUUGGGCGUAAAGAGUUCGUAGGUGGUUUGUUAAGUCUGAUGUUAAAGACUGGGGCUCAACCUCGGAAAUGCAUUGGAUACUGGCAGACUUGAGUGUGGUAGAGGCAAUCGGAAUUCCAGGUGUAGCGGUGAAAUGCGUAGAUAUCUGGAGGAACACCAGUAGCGAAGGCGGCUCGCUGGGCCAUUCCUGACGCUGAGACGCGAAAGCUAGGGGAGCGAACAGG
rnacentral:rRNA from 1 species